AAUCGAAGUCACGUGAUGGUAUAAAUGGGUACAUGCAACCGAUGUUUUCAGGAAUAAUGCUUUUCAAUUUUGGUAUUUAUAAUUGCAAUUUACAAAUAAAGGAUUGGUCCGCGGAACACAUGAGCAUGCAAAAACCACAUACAGGUAUUUCUGCAACUGUUGGCAGAUGCAAUGCCGGUAUUCCUUCUAUAAAAAAUGUCAUUUAUAUCCAGAAAA